UGGUUGUCUCGCAUUCCCUCAUGUAGGUAUUUUAAACAAAUAGCAGCAUCGCGGGCUAUAUUUAGUCUCACGGGCCAAGAGAUAUGUUGCUUUGACUUGCCCGAUAAAUGAUGAUCUAAGCUUCCGUUAGCCAUGUAUUCAUACACCAAAAGCCGGUGGCUUUCAUUUCCGUGUUGUUCAUAACAGUAGCCGAUUAGCUUCACAAGGUUCGGAUGUUGAAUCUUCCCAAGACAAUCCACUUCUGUCUGCCAUUGCCUCGGAAGACUUACAUUCGGAUCAUUUUUACCGCGCUUCACAGCCACUUGAAUAUAAUCAAACGGGGGCUCUGACCCCUUAAUCACCCCCAAAUGUACACUCCCAAAUCCACCCUGCCCAAUCUUGGUAGACUGGUCAAAGUUUUUAGUGGCUUCAUUAAGCUCAGCAAGUUUGAAUUCCCGAAGAGUGGUGGAUCUCCCAUUCAGAUUCGGGACACCCGAGCUUAUAUAAUCUACACUUCG
rnacentral:lncRNA from 1 species